rnacentral:rRNA from 1 species
AUUGAACGCUGGCGGCAGGCCUAACACAUGCAAGUCGAGCGGAGCGGCGGACGGGGGAGUAAUGCCUAGGAAUCUGCAUGGUAGUGGGGGAGAACGUCCGGAAACGGGCGCUAAUACCGCAUACACACAGAUGAGCCUAAGUCGGAGUAGGUAGUUGGUGGGGUAAAGGCCUACCAAGGCGAAGAACGGUAACUGGUCUGAGAGGAUGAUCAGUCACACUGGAACUGAGACACGGUCCAGACUCCUACGGGAGGCAGCAGUGGGGAAUAUUGGACAAUGGGCGAAAGCCUGAUCCAGCCAUGCCGCGUGUGUGAAGAAGGUCUUCGGAUUGUAAAGCACUUUAAGUUGGGAGGCGUUACCAACAGAAUAAGCACCGGCUAACUCCGUGCCAGCCGCCGCGGUAAUAC